rnacentral:rRNA from 1 species
CCUACGGGAGGCAGCAGUGGGGAAUAUUGGACAAUGGGGGCAACCCUGAUCCAGCCAUGCCGCGUGUGUGAAGAAGGCCCUCGGGUUGUAAAGCACUUUCAGUGAGGAAGAACGCCUGGUGGUUAAUACCCAUCAGGAAAGACAUCACUCACAGAAGAAGCACCGGCUAACUCCGUGCCAGCAGCCGCGGUAAUACGGAGGGUGCGAGCGUUAAUCGGAAUUACUGGGCGUAAAGCGCGCGUAGGUGGCUUGAUAAGCCGGUUGUGAAAGCCCCGGGCUCAACCUGGGAACGGCAUCCGGAACUGUCAAGCUAGAGUGCAGGAGAGGAAGGUAGAAUUCCCGGUGUAGCGGUGAAAUGCGUAGAGAUAGGGAGGAAUACCAGUGGCGAAGGCGGCCUUCUGGACUGACACUGACACUGAGGUGCGAAAGCGUGGGUAGCAAACAGGAUUAGAUACCCCUGUAGUC